GACGUGGAGGACCGCCGGGUGGAGGAGUAGGGUAUCCAAUUGAUGGGUGAAAAAUCAAAAUGUCUGAUUUUGUAGCCAGCACUUUCAGCCAGUUCUAAACGGAACUGAAGUCACAACUGAUGGGGUUGCCAUGUCGUCAAACAUUGACAAGUGAUGCUAUAUUCCAGUGAAUUUCCCCUUCACUUCAAAGAGGAAGGCAUCCGAUCAGCCGACAUCAGUGCAGCAGAAAAGAAGGCAAGCUGAGGAGACUUGGAGUACAUACAAAGCUUCUGCAAGAGGUCGAAGCAGUGGGUGGUGAAGAACACCGCCACCGCGCCAAAGCCUGCUCAACCAAAGCCUGCUAAACCAUUACCCAACACAAGAAGAGGUUCACCAGCUGAAGAACAUUCAGGACCCUGCCUGGAACAUUCAGGCAACGCAACGUACAUAUUCAGUUAGACUGAUGUUGUAGUAUAAUAUAGAAUGCCCAGUAUGCUCACAACUGCAUUGUGGUAUAGAUAUUUCUAGCUCUUGUACAUAUGUAUAUAAUGGUGUUAUAUAAUAUUUUUGAAUGUAUUAGAUUCAGUGAGUAAACAAUUCCAGGUGCAUCAGAAACCAAUAAAGUGUUGACUUCCA